rnacentral:misc_RNA from 1 species
GGGCACCGGGAAUCCAACUGUUUAAUUAAA